CGUGUAGGCGGCCUGGUAAGUCAGAUGUGAAAGCCCUCGGCUUAACCGGGGAAGUGCAUCUGAAACUGCCUGGCUUGAGUACGGGAGAGGGAGGCGGAAUUCCCAGUGUAGAGGUGAAAUUCGUAGAUAUUGGGAGGAACACCGGUGGCGAAAGCGGCCCCCUGGACCGAUACUGACGCUGAGACGCGAAAGCGUGGGGAGCAAACA
rnacentral:rRNA from 1 species